CCUACGGGUGGCAGCAGUGGGGAAUAUUGGGCAAUGGGCGCAAGCCUGACCCAGCAACGCCGCGUGAAGGUAGAAGGCUUUCGGGUUGUAAACUUCUUUUAAGAGGGAAGAGCAGAAGACGGUACCUCUUGAAUAAGCCACGGCUAACUACGUGCCAGCAGUCGCGGCAAUCCGUAGGCGGCAAGCGUUGCCCGGAUUUACUGGGUGUACGGGGUGUGUAGCCGGGAAGGCAACUCAGAUGUUAAGUCCAGCGGCUCAAGCACGGAACUGCAUUUGAAACUGUUUUUCUUGAGUACCGGAGAGGUCAUCGGAAUGCCUGGGGUAGCGGUGAAAUGCGUAGAUAUAAGGAAGAACACCAGUGGCGAAGGCGGAUGACGGGACGGCAACUGACGGUGAGGCGCGAAAGCGUGGGUAGCAAACAGGAUUAGAUACCCUUGUAGUC
rnacentral:rRNA from 1 species